CAUAGCGACUAUCGUGGCAUAUCAAUAAGCGGAGGAAAAGUACCUACGCUUAGGAUGUUGACGAGACUGUCGAUCUCAUACAUGACUCUGCGCAUAUCAAUAAGCGGAGGAAAAGAAACUAACAAGGAUUCCCUUAGUAACGGCGAGUGAAGCGGGAAGAGCUCAAAUUUGAAAUCUUCAAGGUUCUACCUUGACGAAUUGUAGUUUAUAGAAGUGUUUUCUGUUAGUGGAGUGGCAAAAGUUCUUUGGAGUAGGACAUCAUAGAGGGUGAGAAUCCCGUAUUUGGUCAUUCCUCCUAGCGUUGUGAUACACUUUCAACGAGUCGGAUUGUUUGGGAAUGCAGUCCAAAAUGGGUGGUGAAUUUCAUCUAAAGCUAAAUAUUGGCGAGAGACCGAUAGCGAACAAGUACCGUGAGGGAAAGAUGAAAAGAACUUUGAAAAGAGAGUUAAACAGUACGUGAAAUUGUCAAAAGGGAAGCGGUUGACACCAGUGUUGUUUUUCCGAAAAUCAAUUACGAAUGUUUUGUUUUUGAGGAGUUAUGACUUCAUCGGCUUGCUCCUUUCUUUACGAAACUUUCUUAAUGCACUUUUCGGUUAACAAGUCAACAUCAAUUUCUUUUGUUGUAAAAGGGUAUGAGGAAGGUGGCUUUCUUUUCGGAGAAAGUGUUUAUAGCCUUGUGCCUCUGCAAUCGGAGAGAUUGAGGUCUGCAGCGUAGAUCCUUCGGGGUUAGAUACGUUUGUGCUAAGUUAUAGCUUUUCAUAGACAACUUGUUGACUAUGUUUAGUCUUGUAGCUUACUCGCUUGUGAUAUUUUACCUACGCUUAGGAUGUUGACGAGACUGUCGAUCUC
rnacentral:rRNA from 1 species